rnacentral:lncRNA from 1 species
GGGAGGCCGCGGCGCGGACGAGAGGGUUGAGGGCGACCGUCUCCGUCGCGGAGGAGAGGAAGGCGAGCCGGCACGCAGGGGAGAGUCUAGGGAGAGAGAGGAAAGCUGCGCAAGUGCCCCUGGAAGCGAGGCAGCUCGGCGCCGUCGCGGAGGAGGAGCUACGCUUCCAUGGAGGAGAGCGACGAGGGGCUCCGGCGUCGCUGCAGAGGAGGGAGGAGAUCCGCUGGCACUGCACCGGGCGAUUCUACGGGAACCUCUCGGGAUGAUUCUGUCGUGAGUCCCCUGUUGUUCAUAUUCAGACUGCAACAUUUUCUGAAUUUUUACUUUGGCUGAAGUUGUUCUUACUGGUACACCAGAUCAGCCGUAUAAAUGCACUAAAUGUUCUGCUUGACUGCUUUUCUUUUUUAUCUUAAUAAAUUGCAUAUCUGCAGCAUCUUGACUCGCCUUUCUGAAAUUGUAGCUUAUCUCUCAUGGUGCAAUGGAAGUACUCCGUAUACUACAAGAUAGCUUCUCUGCAUUGUUGUUUGAUUAGUAACAAGUAUGCAACAUCCCAUGUCUGAAACUUCGUUUGAUUUAGUAACAAGUAACAAAUCAGACAGGGCAAGAAACCUGCACAUUUUCUGCUUCGCUGCCAUUUUUGUUAAGUAAUGUGCACAUGAAACCCAAUCCUGUAUAUGUACUGAUGGCAGUAUGCAUUUCAAUUUAGAAGAUUCCAAUGCUUCAUUUUUUGUAUCCGUGUUUGUCCUCUUGCAUUGUUUAAUAAGCAGAUCGGUCGACCACUAAUUAUACAUGUUGUUUUGAAUUUUGGCAGAAUUCGGGUGUUAUGCAUUUUUGAAAGUGUUGUGCAAUGGCAGAAAUUGGCAAGAGGACACCUCAAGUUGGUAUGAGGUUCAUAUAUUCGGAUGAGGCUUCGGUGUUUUGGGUAGAAUAUGGUGAGGAAAAGAUGCAUUAACUUAAGCAAAUUUGAUGGAAAAGCGACUUCACACAGAUUUGUGUGUUCCAAUGUGGGCACUAGAAGGAAAGCGCAAACUGAUCGUGAGCCAAAGCGCAAACCUUGUGAUGAUCAUGAUUUUAUUUUAGCAUGUGCAAGUCUAUUAGAUACUAGUAUUUUGGACAGAGUUAAGAAUAGUAUUUUGGGGCUAACUAUAAUCUUUUGUGGCCUAAGUGUACAAGUGAAACAGCCUAAUCUAUGUACUCCGGUGAUUGUCCAGUAGCAAGACUGUUGUUGCAUAAUUUGGAUGCUGAGUACUGCUAGAAUCGGUCUAAUGUGGCCUAUCUCUCCUCAUGUGUGCAUAUGGUUCACUCUUUGGAUUAAACUAUAGCCAAGUGUACAAGUAUACUGGCCUAAUAUAUCCAGUGUUCAGUGUCAAAAUUGUCCAGUUUGAAAAGGUU